AUUGAACGCUGGCGGCAUGCCUUACACAUGCAAGUCGAACGGUAACAGGUUAAGCUGACGAGUGGCGAACGGGUGAGUAAUACAUCGGAACGUGCCCAGUAGUGGGGGAUAGCCCGGCGAAAGCCGGAUUAAUACCGCAUACGACCUACGGGUGAAAGGGGGGGAUCGCAAGACCUCUCGCUAUUGGAGCGGCCGAUGUCAGAUUAGGUAGUUGGUGGGGUAAAGGCCCACCAAGCCGACGAUCUGUAGCUGGUCUGAGAGGACGACCAGCCACACUGGGACUGAGACACGGCCCAGACUCCUACGGGAGGCAGCAGUGGGGAAUUUUGGACAAUGGGCGCAAGCCUGAUCCAGCAAUGCCGCGUGUGUGAAGAAGGCCUUCGGGUUGUAAAGCACUUUUGUCCGGAAAGAAAUGGCUCUGGUUAAUACCUGGGGUCGAUGACGGUACCGGAAGAAUAAGGACCGGCUAACUACGUGCCAGCCGCCGCCGUAAGAC
rnacentral:rRNA from 1 species